rnacentral:rRNA from 1 species
CACGUAGGCACCAAGCGUUGUCCGGAUUUAUUGGGCGUAAAGAGCUCGUAGGCGGUUGAGUAAGUCGGGUGUGAAAACUCUGGGCUUAACCCAGAGCCGCCACUCGAUACUGCUCUGACUUGAGUUCGGUAGGGGAGCAGGGAAUUCCUAGUGUAGCGGUGAAAUGCGCAGAUAUCAGGAGGAACACCGGUGGCGAAGGCGGGUCUCUGGGCCGAUACUGACGCUGAGGAGCGAAAGCGUGGGGAGCGAACAGG